rnacentral:rRNA from 1 species
GCAAUUGGGCGGGCCUAAAAUGCAGUCGAACGGUAACAGGAAGCAGCUUGCUUCUUUGCUGACGAGUGGCGGACGGGUGAGUAAUGUCUGGGAAACUGCCUGAUGGAGGGGGAUAACUACUGGAAACGGUAGCUAAUACCGCAUAACGUCGCAAGACCAAAGAGGGGGACCUUCGGGCCUCUUGCCAUCGGAUGUGCCCAGAUGGGAUUAGCUUGUUGGUGGGGUAACGGCUCACCUAGGCGACGAUCCCUAGCUGGUCUGAGAGGAUGACCAGCCACACUGGAACUGAGACACGGUCCAGACUCCUACGGGAGGCAGCAGUGGGGAAUAUUGCACAAUGGGCGCAAGCCUGAUGCAGCCAUGCCGCGUGUAUGAAGAAGGCCUUCGGGUUGUAAAGUACUUUCAGCGGGGAGGAAGGGAGUAAAGUUAAUACCUUUGCUCAUUGACGUUACCCGCAGAAGAAGCACCGGCUAACUCCGUGCCAGCAGCCGCGGUAAUACGGAGGGUGCAAGCGUUAAUCGGAAUUACUGGGCGUAAAGCGCACGCAGGCGGUUUGUUAAGUCAGAUGUGAAAUCCCCGGGCUCAACCUGGGAACUGCAUCUGAUACUGGCAAGCUUGAGUCUCGUAGAGGGGGGUAGAAUUCCAGGUGUAGCGGUGAAAUGCGUAGAGAUCUGGAGGAAUACCGGUGGCGAAGGCGGCCCCCUGGACGAAGACUGACGCUCAGGUGCGAAAGCGUGGGGAGCAAACAGGGAUUAGAUACCCUGGUAGCCCACGCCGUAAACUAUGUCGACUUGGAGGUUGUGCCCUUGAGGCGUGGCUUCCGGAGCUAACGCGUUAAGUCGACCG